rnacentral:SRP_RNA from 1 species
GCCGGGCGCGGUGGCGCGCGCCUGUAGUCCUAGCUACUCGGGAGGCUGAGGCAGGAGGAUCGCUUGAGUCCAGGAGUUCUGGGCUGCAGUGCGCUAUGCCGAUCGGGUGUCCGCACUAAGUUCAGCAUCAAUAUGGUGACCUCCCGGGAGCGGGGGACCACCAGGUUGCCUAAGGAGGGGUGAACCGGCCCAGGUCGGCAAACUGAUAAUCAAAAUAACUGCAACUCAGAAGUGCAUUUGACAUCUGUGUGCCUUGGACACCUCUAUGCCUGAGAUUCAUAAAACUUCUUAUCUGGU